GCUGCGGGAAUGAGUGAGAGGAAAGCCGUGGCGUUACCAGUGAUAAGAAGCUGAUUCUGAACAAAAGUUGAGCGCGUUGUAGCGCAUAUUUAGUCAAUGAGAUGUACGCACAACAGUAUAUGUUUGAUCACUUAUUUUUUGACAUUUUAGGGGAAGCUGAGCUUCCCUUGCAGUCUUAGAGCAAUCGCCUCUGCAUUAGCAGCAGUGAAGACCUGAGCCACCAUUGUGGAGUGUCAGUAGACGGGAAACACAGCAGAGAGAGGGGAUGAUCUGCAGCAAAAGGCCCAAACUGGAAUCAAACCUUGGCCAGCGUGACAUGUGGUGCAUGUACUACCAGGAGGAUGUUGGUCCUGUCAGUCCUAUUUUCUGACCUGCCAGUGGUUCAGAUGGACUUAAUCAACUAUUUUGCUGUCCUACCAGUCUACCUGUCUGAUCAGAAACCAGUCUUGUCAAGGAUAAAUAGAGAGAGGAUCCUGCAAUUCCACAGCAAACACCUGAUGACUAACCGGGGUACUCAAGCGGAACUGGUGACACUACAAUUACAUACUUUUCCCAAAGAAUGUCUAAAUGCAAAACCUAUUUAUAUUUCAACAAUGUCUUUGUUUGUAAUGGGCUUUAUAUGUUAUUUUCUCUGUAAUUAACCACGGGCAGUUGGUUGUAAAAUC